rnacentral:rRNA from 1 species
AUUGAACGCUGGCGGCAGGCCUAACACAUGCAAGUCGAACGAGUGGCGGACGGGUGAGUAAUGUCUGGGAAACUGCCUGAAGGAGGGGGCUAACUACUGGAAACGGUAGCUAAUACCGCAUACCAUCAGAUGUGCCCAGAUGGGAUUAGCUAGUAGGUGGGGUAAAGGCUCACCGAGGCGACGAUCCCUAGCUGGUCUGAGAGGAUGACCAGCCACACUGGAACUGAGACACGGUCCAGAGUCCUGCGGGAGGCAGCAGUGGGGAAUAUUGCACAAUGGGCGCAAGCCUGAUGCAGCCAUGCCGCGUGGAUGAAGAAGGCCUUCGGGUGGUAAAGUACUUUCAGCGGGGAGGCGUUACCCGCCGAAGAAGCCCCGGCUAACUCCGUGCCAGCAGCCGCGGUAAUAC